AUCUUUGCCGCAUUGCUUCCGCCUUCACUCCAGCUGAUCGGCCUUGAUUACCUGGUGUGGUCCGUCGGACUUUCCGCGACCGUUAAUUAUAAAUUAUCAAUUAAAAACUGUAUGGUUGACAGCGGCCGCUAGUUUCGGGAAAACACUCCAUGUUCGUUGACAUUUUCAUCCGGAUAUUUUUUAUUAAAUUUUUUACUGUGGAUGUUAUUUCUUUAGUUCGUGUCUUGGAAUCUCUUUACAGUACCAUAACUAGGCCGCAACCCAAUCCCCGGUGUCACCUACGUGCAUUUAACGUUAACUAGCCAUCGACUGGAGACAACCAUGGGGGACACAGGCAGUGAACGAAGCAAGCCGCCACCACGCUGUUCCUGUGGAUUUUGGGGACCUCCCAAACCCAUCCAGUAUGGUUCUCUUGGCAUCCUGGAACUUCUGGUGGAUGCAAAGGACUACGCAGGCUGCAGCACUACUCUGUUCCUAUGGCACAGAUAGACCUAGCACCAACUAACAAAGCUCAUAUAGGCCAGAUACCUGUAAUUAAUAGCAUGUCUUCUAUUUGUCAUACAGUCAAUCACAAGUAGACCCUGUCCAUUGACAAUUCCCACUAAGUGUUAAAGGGCAUUGUUUAGCCAUUACAUGUACUGAAAAUGUAUAUACACCCAAGAUUGUUCUGCUAUGGGGGAAAAAAGGGAUAUUACUUUUUUCAGUGUAGUGGUUGAACCAUGCCCUAUAAGUUAUUUUAGUAGGAAUUGUCAAUGGGUUGGUGCUAUCUGUGAUUUGAAUGUAUGACUUUGUGUAGGGGCAGUUGUCACCAACCUUCCUGGAGAUAUAUAUUCUCCGGUAAAUUUUCUUCCCAACCAUCACAAGAGAUUCUGUCAAGCAAGUUCUUGUUGAGAAGCUACGUGACAUUUUGUGUGCAAUACUAACUCCUCCACCUUUCCUGUCAUGGGAUGAGAUUAUAGUUGUGUGUAGUGAUGUUGGUGUUUGAGAAAGCAGGUGAUGACAAUGUAAAUAAAAACAACUUUUUGUACUUUAA